GUGGGGAAUCUUGCGCAAUGGGCGAAAGCCUGACGCAGCGAUGCCGCGUGCGGGAUGAAGGCCUUCGGGUUGUAAACCGCUUUCAGCAGGGACGAAAUUGACGGUACCUGCAGAAGAAGCCCCGGCCAACUACGUGCCAGCAGCCGCGGUAAUACGUAGGGGGCGAGCGUUGUCCGGAUUUAUUGGGCGUAAAGAGCUCGUAGGCGGUUCGAUAAGUCGGAUGUGAAAUCUCCACGCUCAACGUGGAGAGGCCAUUCGAUACUGUCGUGACUCGAGUCCGGUAGGGGAGUGUGGAAUUCCCGGUGUAGCGGUGAAAUGCGCAGAGAUCGGGAGGAACACCCGUAGCGAAGGCGGCACUCUGGGCCGUGACUGACGCUGAGGAGCGAAAGCGUGGGGAGCAAACAGGAUUAGAAACCCGGGUAGUCC
rnacentral:rRNA from 1 species